rnacentral:rRNA from 1 species
CAGCCGCCGCGGUAACCCCAGCGCCACAAGUGGGAAUCACUUUUAUUGGGUCUAAAGCAUCCGUAGCCGGUCUGGCAAAUGCCUUGUGAAAUCGAUGCGCUUAACGUAUCGGCGUGCAAGGUAGACUACCAGACUUGGGACCGGAAGAGGUGCGCGGUAUUCCUUGGGGAGCGGUAAAAUGUGAUAAUCCAAGGAGGACCACCGAUGGCGAAGGCAGCGCACUAGUACGGAUCCGACGGUGAGGGAUGAAAGCUAGGGGAGCGAUCCGGAUUAGAUACCCGAGUAGUCCUAGCCGUAAACGCUGUGAGCAAGGUAUUGCACUUCCCACGAGGACGUGCAGUGUCGAAACGAAGGUGUUAAGCUCACCACCAGGGAAGUACGGUCGCAAGGCUGAAACUUUAAGGAAUUGGCGGGGGGGAGCA